rnacentral:lncRNA from 1 species
AGAGAUCAGGAGCAGAGAAAGAAGACAGUGAAGCUGAAAAUUAAAACCUAUCCCAGUUUCUGGGCCACCACUUUGUAAGAAAGGUGAUUCUAAUGUACAGGCUGCUGAGGACAACUGAUUUAGUGGUUCCAUAAGCCAAGGCAGUUGAUGACUGAGAGAGAUGAAAUAAAGGAGCAUUCCUCAGAAUAAAAUGAUAAAGUGAGAGGCAACCUAUUCCUGAGUUGAGACCUGAAAUUCCUGGGCCAGUGAUCAGAUCUGAGCCACAUUUGCAACCUACUCCAGAGCUGUGGCAACAUCAGAUCCUUAACCAACUGUGCCAGGGCAGAGAUUGAACCUGCGUCCCAGUGCUCCGAAGACACCAUCGAUCCCAUUGCGCCACAGUGGAAGCUCCUACAGAGAUAUUUAAAGUAUACUCAAUACAUUAACUUUUCUUAUCUUCGAGUGAGAUAAUAUUCUGAGAUAUUAAGCCUAGUAACUGGGUAUUAAAAGAUUAUUCAUUUAUUUUUGUUUGUUUUUAUUAAGACAGACAUGAAUGAUCUGAAAGAGUUAGGUCAUUUCCCCAAAUUGAGUAUCCUAUUUCCAGAUGUUAGAUUUGUCUUUUAUUCUAUGAAUAUCUCUUGCAAACUUGUAAGAAAGAGUACUAUCUCCAUUAUAGAUAUGACAGAUCAUUGCUAUAAAUUUAAGUCACUCUAUAUAUGAUACAAAUCAGGUCAUCCAGAGAAUAGAGAAUAAAUUACAAGACCUCUGAACACUUGCUUAGAGCCCUGUCCAUGUGAUUAUGUGGGUCUUUACGUCCUGUGUGCCCUGGGUUCAGACCCUGGGGAUCUGUGGCUGAGCUUGCUCAUUUGCUCUCUGAUGGCUUUGCAUGAUCAAGGGGAUGGAUGACUGAGGGCUGCUACACAGCCAGCCUGCUUUUUCUCUUCACCUCUGUGCUAAAUGAAUGUGGUCCAAGUGUGCCUUAGACAUAGGAGCCUAAAUAAUGGCAUUGUGCUUCCUUGUGGAGCUCAGUAAUAUUUACUGAGCCCAACAGCUUCAUUUCUCCAGUCCCUGCUGCAUUAAUGGCUGGCUUCAGGGUGGGAGGUGAGAAGGGAGGGUAUGAAGAAUUACUGAGAAGGACACAGGCGACACAGUUAACAGAUGGCCUUAUUAGAGACACUUUCCUGGGCCUAAGUGAAGCCUCUUUGUCUGAGUUGGCAAGAAGUGGGUCAUUUUCCUCAGCUGUCGGGCUCAGGGCUGACGUGACUUGUGCCUGUAGUUGCAGCAAGCUCUUGGUUUCCCCAAUGACUUUUGGUUUUCUGAGAUAUUCUAAUGGCCCAGUCUCUCUAGGCCUUCCCAGAGCAGAACUGGACUUCUUCACAGACCAUUUAGUUCUUUUCCAAGCUAUAGGCUGCUUCGUAGCACUGACUGCCUCAUGUACAACAAGCCACAGAGGAAGUCUCCGAAUCUCCACCCCUAAGAUUGGGCCAGUGGUCUAGUGGCCCCAGAUACCUGGAGAGCAAGAGAAAUAUCACAGUCUCAAAACACACAUGCACUAAAAAACAUCUGUAAGUAGAAUAAAGAGCAGGCUCAACUCAUAUGUAUUGCUGUUAUUUCCCAAUGUAACUACUGUAUGUUAUGGUGACUGAAAUUCAAGUUCAUUUGAAAUAUUUCUGAAUUUAUGGCAACUUCCCAUCACUACACUUUCUCAGUCAAAUGUAUAUUGAAAGAAUGACUGUGGUCCUAUGUGGAUCUGCAGAAUCUUUUCAUAAUACAGUGUUUUCAUAAUAUUUGCUAAGAAUUUGCUCUCCAGUAAUACUGCACCCUUUAGGUGACAUGCUGUCUCCUGCAGGCUCCUUGUAGCCUAUGGCCUUUUAGCAUGUCAGUAGUAGCAAUACUUCCCCACCCACUGCUGUUAUUUGGGAAGACUUCUGUCAUUGUAUUUCUGCUUUUUCUGUUCCACCAGUUAAGGGCUUCCAGGUGUCAGAAUACUUGGAUAGUCAAAACAUGAGCCAAUUCUAUGUCUACUACUUGGCAAGACUCUGUGCUCUUAGGUAUUUGAAUAAGGCUGCAUUAACCUGACACUCUCACUGGUUAUGAGAGGGAUUGUGUAGACACAGGUCGUUGUAGAAGUCCCAGUAAAGGAUCACAGAUAGGGGACUUUGGGAGAUCAUUGUAAGUUAAUAAAUUGCUCAAAAAAGCCAUCAGAACAAGGCAGGCUUUCUUGAUUAGUGGAAGAGCGAGAAUUGCCUCAGGUCGUCGGGUGGGGGAUGGGAUGAUGCCUGUAUUCACAUUCAGACUUAAGGCAGGAGUUUGAGGACUGACCUUCUGCUGAUUUGAAUAUGCACCUUACUGGAGCUAGUAAAGGAAGAAGUGGUCUUUUCCGCCCACUCCCCUUGUAUGAUAAAACUGUAGCCCACUAGAUCAUCGGGAGGGUAUACAUCUUCCAUCUCUGCUCCCUUGCCCCUCUCAUAAGCAUUCUGACUUAAUCUGUUUCUUGCCUAUCACUUUGUCACUCACUGAAUUCCUUCUGUGUGGAGACAUGAAGAACCGGAACCUCAGUGAGUCCAGACAGGGUGAGUGAUUCUAAUUUAAAACUGUGGGUUUAGGUCCCAAUCUGGGUUUAGGCUGCGUUCAAGUCCUGGUACAUGGGUUCAAGUCCCAAUCUGGGUUUAGGCUGGGUUCAAACCCCAGCAUGUGGGUUCAAGUCCCAGUUGUGUUCUGGCUAGGUUCAGGCUGUUAGUGCUGUCAGUUUCAGUUACAAUCAAAAAAAAAAAAAAAAAAAAAAGAUUUUGGUUCCAUUCUCUCUGUUUCCCACUUACUUUUCUUCCAAAGUUUCUAAGUGAUUGGCAGAUGUACACCAUAUAUAAGGAUAGAUGCUGCUAGAUUUUGCAAACCUCUACAAAGAUAUGUUGUAUCUGUUUCUGCCCCCUGCACUAAGAAUAUGGCCCAGGAGAGGAAACUCUAAAUAUACCAGGAAAUAAACCAGUAACAUUAAAACAGAGUUAAAAAUUCCAAGUGCUUAAUUAAGCCUGACUUGAAAAUCAUUUCUAUCUCCAGCAUGAAGAAGAAUAGAAAAAUAAAGAGAAACUGCUCCCUCCCCCUCGAAAUUAGUUCUCAAAACAUACAUAGCACACUUUAAUUGAUAGAUGAGGAAAUAACUUUAUGGAGCUAGGUCCUACCUCCACCCCCCACCCAAAGUCACAAAUCGAUGACUGCAUCUUUUCAAACUGAGAAGAGAACACUUAAAUAAUUUUUCUCUCUAAUGAUACUGCCUACAUUUCUUUGUGCUUCUCCCCCAACCCCCUCUCUUUCUAGCAAACUUCAGAAAUCAGAGAAAAGCCUCCUAACUCACGGUAUUUGUCACUUCUGAACACAUACACCUCUCAAACAUAUUCAAACAUGUUGGAGCCAGCAGAUAUAAAACUGCCAGGUUUAUCAGUCCAUGAUUUAUUUGCUAAAACUGAGCAUGAUUCUGGGCAGAAAAUUGGAGAGGGGAACAGAAGGAGAGUCUCUCCCUUCUGUCCAUGCCUCCACAGGGAUUUCUCUUGGAGCCAGAAGAGAAGAAUCAGACUGAAGAUUUCUUUAGCUUCCAAGAGGUAGUAAGUCAAUUGUUGCAUUAUAUUUUAGGUAGCUGCAUCUGCAACAAAAGCACAAUGGAUAGCUAGAUGGAUUUAUAGAUAGACACCUAGAUGGGUGAUAAAGAGAAAUAGAACACACAUUGAGGAAUUGUGUCACAGAAUGCCUUUGGAAGAUUAUUUGGCUGCCAGAGAUGCCACGAAUAAAGAAGAUAAAGGAGAGGGAGCCAGUAAGCUGGAAAUCUAUUAUGACUAUAGGAUCUGUGGAUUCUGGAAUAAGGGAAAAGGUGGUAGUAGGGGCAUCGCU